rnacentral:rRNA from 1 species
CCUACGUGAGGCAGCAGUGAGGAAUAUUGGUCAAUGGACGAGAGUCUGAACCAGCCAAGUAGCGUGAAGGAUGACUGCCCUAUGGGUUGUAAACUUCUUUUAUAUGGGAAUAAAGUGUUCCACGUGUGGGUUUUUGUAUGUACCUUAUGAAUAAGGAUCGGCUAACUCCGUGCCAGCAGCCGCGGUAAUACGGAGGAUCCGAGCGUUAUCCGGAUUUAUUGGGUUUAAAGGGAGCGUAGAUGGAUUGUUAAGUCAGUUGUGAAAGUUUGCGGCUCAACCGUAAAAUUGCAGUUGAUACUGGCAGUCUUGAGUACAGUAGAGGUAGGCGGAAUUCGUGGUGUAGCGGUGAAAUGCUUAGAUAUCACGAAGAACUCCGAUUGCGAAGGCAGUUUACUAAACUGCCACUGACAUUGAGGCUCGAAAGUGUGGGUAUCAAACAGGAUUAGAUACCCUGGUAGUC